ACUUUAUUAUUUCGUUGUGAUUUUAUCGUCUCGUAAAAACGCACGCGUUACAGCAAUGUUUCGGUAUGUAUACAAUAUGAUAAUUUAUACCGAUAACCGGUGAUGAUAGCAAUGUAAAUGGUUACACAGGGAAUAUCGUAUUGAAACGAUUGCGUAUCAAUAAUCGUAAGCGGUUCUGAGUAUGUGUGUAUUGUCCAAGUGACGAUCCGCGCUCAUUACCCCUCCGGGA